rnacentral:rRNA from 1 species
UGGGGAAUAUUGCACAAUGGACGGAAGUUUGAUGCAGCGACGCCGCGUGGAGGGUGUAGGCCUUCGGGUUGUGAACUCCUUUUUCUCGCGAAAAAGGCACAGUUUUGGCUGUGUUGAUGGUAGUGGGGGAAGAAGCGCCGGCUAACUACGUGCCAGCAGCCGCGGUAAUACGUAGGGCGCGAGCGUUGUCCGGAUUUAUUGGGCGUAAAGGGUUCGCAGGCGGAAAUGCAAGUCAGUUGUGAAAGGCAGAGGCUCAACCUCUGUAAGCAAUUGAAACUGUAUUUCUUGAGAUGUGGAGAGGCAAGUGGAAUUCCUAGUGUAGCGGUGAAAUGCGUAGAUAUUAGGAAGAAUACCGGUGGCGAAGGCGACUUGCUGGACACAAACUGACGCUGAGGAACGAAAGCGUGGGUAGCAAACAGG